UACAGAGGAGUCAAGCGUUGUCCGGAUUGACUGGGCGUAAAGCGCACGCAGGCGGCGCUGCGCGUGGGGUGUGAAAUCUGGCCGCUUAACGGCCAGGCGCCAUCCCAUACGGCAGGGCUGGAGUGAUGCAGAGGUCGAUGGAAUUGCCGGUGUAGUGGUGAAAUGCGUAGAGAUCGGCAGGAACACCCAGGGGGAAACCAGUCGACUGGGCAUCUACUGACGCUGAGGUGCGAGAGCGUGGGGAGCGAACCGG
rnacentral:rRNA from 1 species